GCGCUGAGGCUCCAGGCUCACUCAAGAAGCAAGAGCAGCCCAGAGCCCAGAGCAGAGGUAAGUUCACCCUCUGCUGCCCGGGCUGGCCCUGAAGUCCUGAGCUCCAGCAGAUCCUUCCACCUCAAAUUCCAGAGUAGCUAGGACUAUGGAUGAGACUGGUUUGUAUUUUGUAACUUUGAAAUAAUGGUGUUGGUGGUCGGAGUUUGGAGAGAAGGUGGGAGAAACACUCAGGGAACAUAUUCUUUGAUUUAUAAUAUUAUACUUUAGGUUUCCAUUUCUAGUGGACAGUCAUAGAAGAGAGCUUCAAUUGUAUAAGAAUUCCUGCCAUUUUUUGAAACAGCUUGUAUUAAACCUCAUGGGUUUUCUUACAGAUAAAGAAAACAUUGUCUGAA